rnacentral:rRNA from 1 species
GACAGAGGUCCCGAGCGUUAGGCGGAAUCACUGGGCUUAAAGCGUGUGUAGGCGGAUGCCUAAGUACCUUGUGAAAUCCCACGGCUCACCCGUGGAACUGCUUGGUAUACUGGGUCGCUUGAGCCACUUAGGGGCUACCGGAACAAAUGGUGGAGCGGUGAAAUGCGUAGAUAUCAUUUGGAACGCCAAUGGUGAAAACAGGUAGCUGGGAGUGUGCUGACGCUGAGACACGAAAGCCAGGGGAGCAAACGGG